rnacentral:tRNA from 1 species
AAAUAAGAAGCAUAUUAAUGUUUUUAAUUUCGACUUAAAAGAAGAGUAAAAUACUCCUUAUUUA